rnacentral:ncRNA from 1 species
UGACAGAGCCAACGAGUUCAUUUCCUUAGCCGAAAGGUUUGGGUAAUCUUGUUAAACUCUGUCGUGCUGGGGAUAGAGCAUUGCAAUUAUUGCUCUUCAACGAGGAAUGCCUAGUAAGCGCAUGUCAUCAGCAUGCGUUGAUUACGUCCCUGCCCUUUGUACACACCGCCCGUCGCUACUACCGAUUGAAUGGCUCGGUGAGGCCUUCGGACUGGCCCAGGGAGGUCGGCAACGACCACCCAGGGCCGGAAAGUUGGUCAAACCCGGUCAUUUAGAGGAAGUAAAAGUCGUAACAAGGUCUCCGUAGGUGAACCUGCGGAGGGAUCAUUA